UGCAGCGUGCACCGGGUCUGCAGAUGGCGGGUGACUGAAGUAGACGGGCGGCUUCAAUGCUUCCAAUGACUCAAUGAGGCAAAUUGUAGCUAAUGUUGCAUCUUGGCUUUGAGGAUCAAGGGCAAAAACGACUGAGCAAUGAUCUAGAGAGAUGAUACUUCGCGUGUGCUUAAUUGGAAUGUACAUUUCUGAAUAGUGCAGGAAAAUUGGGACAGUUCCAGGGUGCAAUUCCCCGUCAGGGUCAUAACUCUUUGUUCACAACGUGACGCAAGGAUUCAUGUUUCAGAUUCGCAAAUCCGUUUUCCUUGUCACUCCGAGAUCAUGGUAAAGGUCAUGCACUCAGCAGAAUUGCAAUAAUUUGUCUGGUUGAUAAGAAUAGGUCUUUCAGAAUUGGCGCAGGGGCGACGGUUGGUUUACCCCUUGAUGUUUGUCGGAGAGGAAGUUAACUCAGGCACAUUCAAGGAUCUCCCAUAUUUCUUACAUAUGCUGGACUGCUUAUCACACACGUCAGGAAAGUUGCAUUGACAAAGAUAUACAUAAGAGUGCAGUCUGCAUUCAGGGUUCUACUUUUGGAACAGGGCCUUUGCUGUGCCUUUAAAAAAAAGCCAUUCUCUUGAUCCCUGAGCCAAACGGCCAAUCAUGUCUCAGUUUAACAGAAGAUAUUUGCCUCAGCAGGAGUCACUCCUCGUCUCUGGAAUGAUAAAUUCGCACAAGCACUCUCUGUUGUUCCACACACAGUUUCUAGUGUCCAGUUCACUGAUCCUUACGUGGAGGGGCUCUGUUUAAGAUGAUGAAGAUUCUGUACUGGUUCUUGGUCUCCUGCUGAUUGCUGAGGAUUUCCAGGUCGUGGAUUCCUCCACGGGUAAAUGUGAGGAUGCCGAUGGAAUAUGUACCAAUGACCCUUGCCCACCGGGUUAUUUGCUUGAAGAAGAUUUCUGCGAUAACGGUUCUGAUUGCUGCUAUCCGGGUCUGGGAUGAAUCUCCAGUGAGUGUGCGCCCCAACACCCAACCGCAAUCGUCAUUCCGAAUAAGCACGAGCUGUGUAAUUGGGUGUGCGCAACAGGCCCCACCCCAUCUCCGAACCUGUUCUUUUCUUAGUGCAAUAAUGGUCUAUAAUCAGCAAUAAAAUAAUUUGUAUUGAUCACA